rnacentral:rRNA from 1 species
UACGUAGGGCGCAAGCGUUAUCCGGAAUUAUUGGGCGUAAAGAGCUCGUAGGUGGUUUGUCGCGUUGUUCGUGAAAACUCACAGCUUAACUGUGGGCGUGCGGCGAUACGGGCAGACUGGAGUACUGCAGGGGAGACUGGAAUUCCUGGUGUAGCGGUGGAAUGCGCAGAUAUCAGGAGGAACACCGGUGCGAAGGCGGGUCUCUGGGCAGUAACUGACGCUGAGGAGCGAAAGCGUGGGGAGCGAACAGG